rnacentral:rRNA from 1 species
GACGAACGCUGGCGGCGUGCUUAACACAUGCAAGUCGAACGGUAAGGCCCUUCGGGGUACACGAGUGGCGAACGGGUGAGUAACACGUGGGUAAUCUGCCCUGCACAUCGGGAUAAGCCUGGGAAACUGGGUCUAAUACCGAAUAGGACCACAGGACACAUGUCCUGUGGUGGAAAGCUUUUGCGGUGUGGGAUGGGCCCGCGGCCUAUCAGCUUGUUGGUGGGGGGAUGGCCUACCAAGGCGACGACGGGUAGCCGGCCUGAGAGGGUGUCCGGCCACACUGGGACUGAGAUACGGCCCAGACUCCUACGGGAGGCAGCAGUGGGGAAUAUUGCACAAUGGGCGAAAGCCUGAUGCAGCGACGCCGCGUGGGGGAUGACGGCCUUCGGGUUGUAAACCUCUUUCACCAUCGACGAAGGUCCGGGUUUUCUCGGGCUGACGGUAGGUGGAGAAGAAGCACCGGCCAACUACGUG